rnacentral:rRNA from 1 species
GAUGAACGCUAGCUACAGGCUUAACACAUGCAAGUCGAGGGGAAACGACAUCGAAAGCUUGCUUUUGAUGGGCGUCGACCGGCGCACGGGUGAGUAACGCGUAUCCAACCUGCCCAUCACUUGGGAAUAACCUUGCGAAAGUAAGACUAAUACCCAAUGACAUCCCACGAAGACAUCUGAAUGGGAUUAAAGAUUUAUCGGUGAUGGAUGGGGAUGCGUCUGAUUAGCUUGUUGGCGGGGUAACGGCCCACCAAGGCAACGAUCAGUAGGGGUUCUGAGAGGAAGGUCCCCCACAUUGGAACUGAGACACGGUCCAAACUCCUACGGGAGGCAGCAGUGAGGAAUAUUGGUCAAUGGGCGAGAGCCUGAACCAGCCAAGUAGCGUGCAGGAUGACGGCCCUAUGGGUUGUAAACUGCUUUUAUAAGGGAAUAAAGUGGGUCUCGGGAGACUUUUUGCAUGUACCUGAUGAAUAAGGACCGGCUAAUUCCGUG